rnacentral:lncRNA from 1 species
CCCUGUGCUGAGCAUCAGAUUGGGUCAAUAGUUGGAGCCGUGCCCGCAAUGUCAGCCGUCCUAUAGCGAUGGGACGAAGUAGAUAGAAAAGGAGAACCCCUUGCGUUCGCGUACACUUCUCAUGGAUGUGAUAGAGAUCAUAGUCGUCCAACUGCGCUGGGAUGCUGAUUGGUAUAUGGUGGGCGCGCACAUGGGAAUUGGGUUCGUUGGCCGACGUUGCCGCAAAGUGCGCCUGUUAGUUGAGGGUGCAGGUGGGUCAAGGCGGGAUCUGAAUUGAUAUAGCGUUCGGAUCCAAAUUUAGACGAAAUUGGUGUGUCUAGACUGGGCCAGAUCUUCUUUUCAGUGGAACCGUCAAUCAGAUGGCAAAUAGAGCCCCAUUAGGCUAUCACGAUUGGAAUCGAGUGAGCCUUAUCUUGGAUUGUUCAGUCCAAGUGGGGAUCAUGGAACCACAAAUCAAGGCAAACGUACGCUAAUAGAAUUCUCGGGAAUAAAUUUGGAAUGGGCUGGCCCGAAUCUUAUAGAAAAAAAGGAAAACUCUCUCAUCGAGAUUCCAGACCAUGUCACGUGGAUCUUUCCUGGUCCAUUCAUAUAAAAUGGGACCAAAAAAACCUUAAUGUGGUCCUUUUUUUUUUAUCAUAUAGAAUUCGGGCCGGCUCACUCUAAAAAAAUUCCUAUAAAAUUUGUGAAUAUAAGUCUAGCCCGGCCUGUGUUCCUGUGAAUCAUAUAGGAUCACGUAGGAUUAUACAAAUAGAUCCUUAUUUGGAUUAUUAGUCAAUUGGUUCUAGCACUUAGGCCAUAUAGCUGACCCUGGCUUGGACUCAAGGCACUUAAAUAUAAUCCGCAACCCAAACUCUGGCCAUGUACGGGCCUAUGAGAAAAGGCCCUAAACCCACGCCUCAAAAUAUCAGGUUUACGCCAUAACUUACCAGCAAGGCAAUGGAAAAU